rnacentral:rRNA from 1 species
AGCUCCAAUAGCGUAUAUUAAAGUUGUUGCAGUUAAAAAGCUCGUAGUUGAAUUUCUGGACUUAGCGACCGGUCCGCGUCUUAUGGGCGUGUGUACUUGUGCGCUGUGUCCAUUUUCGUGGGGAACUGUCUGGCGUUCACGCGUCGGGCGGUGAUCCGCGUCUUUUACUGUGAAAAAAUUAGAGUGUUUAAAGCAGGCAUAUGCCUUGAAUACAUUAGCAUGGAAUAAUAAGAUAGGACUUUGGCCUAUUUUGUUGGUUAUUACGCCAAGGUAAUGAUUAAUAGGGAUAGUUGGGGGUAUUCAUAUUUCAUUGUCAGAGGUGAAAUUCUUGGAUUUAUGAAAGAUGAACAACUGCGAAAGCAUUUACCAAGGAUGUUUUCAUUAAUCAAGAACGAAAGUA